rnacentral:rRNA from 1 species
CCUACGGGGGGCUGCAGUGGGGAAUAUUGGACAAUGGGCGAAAGCCUGAUCCAGCAAUGCCGCGUGAGUGAUGAAGGCCUUAGGGUUGUAAAGCUCUUUUACCAGGGAUGAUAAUGACAGUACCUGGAGAAUAAGCUCCGGCUAACUCCGUGCCAGCAGCCGCGGUAAUACGGAGGGAGCUAGCGUUGUUCGGAAUUACUGGGCGUAAAGCGCACGUAGGCGGCGACUCAAGUCAGAGGUGAAAGCCCGGAGCUCAACCCCGGAACUGCCUUUGAAACUAGGUUGCUAGAAUCUUGGAGAGGUCAGUGGAAUUCCGAGUGUAGAGGUGAAAUUCGUAGAGAUUCGGAAGAACACCAGUGGCGAAGGCGACUGACUGGACAAGUAUUGACGCUGAGGUGCGAAAGCGUGGGGAGCAAACAGGAUUAGAUACCCGGGUAGUC